rnacentral:rRNA from 1 species
AAAUAGAUACCCAGGUAGUCCACGCCGUAAACGAUGAAUACUAGGUGUAGGGGUUGUCAUGACCUCUGUGCCGCCGCUAACGCAUUAAGUAUUCCGCCUGGGGAGUACGGUCGCAAGAUUAAAACUCAAAGGAAUUGACGGGGGCCCGCACAAGCAGCGGAGCAUGUGGUUUAAUUCGAAGCAACGCGAAGAACCUUACCUAGACUUGACAUCUCCUGCAUUACCCUUAAUCGGGGGAAGUUCCUUCGGGAACAGGAAGACAGGUGGUGCAUGGUUGUCGUCAGCUCGUGUCGUGAGAUGUUGGGUUAAGUCCCGCAACGAGCGCAACCCUUAUUGUUAGUUGCUACCAUUUAGUUGAGCACUCUAGCGAGACUGCCCGGGUUAACCGGGAGGAAGGUGGGGAUGACGUCAAAUCAUCAUGCCCCUUAUGUCUAGGGCUACACACGUGCUACAAUGGCAAGUACAAAGAGAAGCAAGACCGCGAGGUGGAGCAAAACGUCAAAAACUUAGUCUCAGUUCGGAUUGUAGGCUGAAACUCGCCUACA